ensembl:lncRNA
AUGAGCUGUGUACAACCAAGUUUCUACCUUUCUCUCACAGAACAACUUCCUCCACAGCAACCAGGUUGUUUCAGAAGUGGACAUUCACCCGAGACUGCUUUGCUCUCAGUUGUUGAAGCCCUAAGACUGGCAAGAGCAGAUUUCAAAUCUUCAAUACUUAUCUUGCUGGAUCUGUCCGCUGCUUUUGACAUGGUUAACCACCAGAUCCUCCGGUCAACCCUAUUGGCAAAGGGCAUCUCAGGAACCGCACUCCAGUGGUUUGAGUCUGAUCAGAUAGGUCCUUCAGUGUGUCUUGGAGAGCUGCUCAAAUCUCAGCUUCUCUAACAGACAUUUCUUGCUGAAUGAAAGACCAUCACCUUCAACUCAACCUUGCCAAGACAGAUCUGCUUGUGGUUCCACCAAACCCAUCAUUUCAUCACAAGUUCACUAUCCAUUUAGGCACAUCAACCAUAACUCCUUCAAAAACAGCCAGAAACCUUAGAGUUAUGAUUGAUGAUCAGCUGACUUUCUCAGACCACAGACUUGCCCCUUGUAGACUUGCACUCUAUUCAUUUACUAACUGCUUGUUUUCUUAAAGAAAAAAUAAAUUAACACUUCUCUUAUCUUUUUGUAUUCUAUCUGUUUCCUUUUUAUUUAUUAUACAAUUUUAAAAGGAAAAAAGGCCUCUAACAUGAGCUUGUUCUAUUUGUUUCCUAUUCUAUCUGUUUUCUUUUUAUUUAUUAUAUAAUUAAAAAAAAACCUUGCUACGUGUACUGUGUUAAGCUAACUAAGACUUGUUAUAGCACCUGCAUAUCAUUGCUCAUUUGUUAAUUUUGAUUGCUGGAUAAAAGCCUCUGCUAAAUGACUAAAUGUACAUAUACAGUAUAUAUGCCCAAAGAAUAAAUGUGUAACACAAAUCAGGUUUAUUAUUAUAUAAGUUAUCAUAAACCUACUUUAAUUGACAUGUGUGCUCUGGAAAGCUGUUCAGGUGAGGACAGCUGGUUUAGUGAGGCACUAUUUCCUUAGCUCUUCUAUUUAUUUUCAAUUCAGGAUUUCUAAGCUGCCAUCUGCUGUUGGGUGUGCUCACGUUGAUUAUUUACCCAGAGAAAAUAUAGCAGUGAAAAAUUAAUGUGUGUAUGUACUGAGCUCUGUCCAUCUGACCUCGUGGUCAUUGGCAGAAUGAGAAAACAGGGUCGUGGUGCUGGGAGAUGAGGUCAGCAUUUGAGGCAAUGUGAAAAGGGUCCUGAUUUCGACUUGUGACAUCACCUCUCCACCUCUAUUAGCCCUCUUAACAGAACAGAUAUGAGUCAGGAGAUCCAGGAGAUGGUCUAAUGCAUCUAUUUUGUGCCUGGGUUGGAAAGAAAAGAAAGAAAAAAGAAAAAAGAAAAAAAAAAAAACCCUAACAAAUAUAUGGUUUGUCCAGCAGAUGGCAGUACAACAUGUGUAUUUUGUGUACAACUAUACAGUAUAUUGUAAACUGCAAGUUUGCUAGUUCACUGGAGGCCAGUGACCUUAAUAUGUGUGUCACAAACUCCAACUGCAC